rnacentral:rRNA from 2 species
UCUGAUAAAUAUAGCUAAUUGGAACCACUCUUAACCAUUCCGAACAAGAUAGUGAAACGAUUAUACGCCGAUGAUAGUAUUUAAAAUGCGAAAGUAGGUAAUUAUCAGAA